GCCCAUUGAAGUCAACAAGUAGUCCACUAUAGCCACUCAGCCCACUGUAGCAGAAAGCAUAAGCCACUGAAUCUAGCAAGCGGCCCACUGAAGUUGAAAGAACAGCCCACUAAAGCCAACAAGUAGCCCACUAAAUCUGCACAGCCCACUGUGGUCGACAUAGCCCACUGAAGCAAACAAAUGGUGCACUAAAAUCAAAAGAAUGGCCCACUAAAGCCAACAAAUGGUCCACUAUAGCUGAGGC
rnacentral:lncRNA from 1 species